CAGUAGCCGCGGGAAUACGGAGGGUGCAAGCGUUAAUCGGAAUUACUGGGCGUAAAGCGCACGCAGGCGGUUUGUUAAGUCAGAUGUGAAAUCCCCGGGCUCAACCUGGGAACUGCAUCUGAUACUGGCAAGCUUGAGUCUCGUAGAGGGGGGUAGAAUUCCAGGUGUAGCGGUGAAAUGCGUAGAGAUCUGGAGGAAUACCGGUGGCGAAGGCGGCCCCCUGGACGAAGACUGACGCUCAGGUGCGAAAGCGUGGGGAGCAAACAGGAUUAGAUACCCCAGUAGUCCCUGUCUCUUAUAC
rnacentral:rRNA from 1 species